rnacentral:rRNA from 1 species
CGGCGUGCCUAAUACAUGCAAGUCGAGCGAGCGGAACUAACAGAUUUACUUCGGUAAUGACGUUAGGAAAGCGAGCGGCGGAUGGGUGAGUAACACGUGGGGAACCUGCCCCAUAGUCUGGGAUACCACUUGGAAACAGGUGCUAAUACCGGAUAAGAAAGCAGAUCGCAUGAUCAGCUUUUAAAAGGCGGCGUAAGCUGUCGCUAUGGGAUGGCCCCGCGGUGCAUUAGCUAGUUGGUAAGGUAAAGGCUUACCAAGGCGAUGAUGCAUAGCCGAGUUGAGAGACUGAUCGGCCACAUUGGGACUGAGACACGGCCCAAACUCCUACGGGAGGCAGCAGUAGGGAAUCUUCCACAAUGGACGCAAGUCUGAUGGAGCAACGCCGCGUGAGUGAAGAAGGUUUUCGGAUCGUAAAGCUCUGUUGUUGGUGAAGAAGGAUAGAGGUAGUAACUGGCCUUUAUUUGACGGUAAUCAACCAGAAAGUCACGGCUAACUACGUGCC